GGCAUGGCGGGAGUUGUAGUUUAGCGAUGUAUGACGGGAAUUGUAGUCCGAGAGGGCCGACGGGAGACGGAAGGCCGCUACGGGAAUCCCACCGGGAUAUUUCAGGGGAGAGGUGUGAAGCAAUUAUGUUGUUUUUCCCACAUCUGCUGACCGACCUCUCCAAGUGAUAACAGUGACACAAACCAGAGUUGGAGAAGAACUUGUUAACUCCUCGUUUUCAGGGAAGUGCAAACCAACAGGAUGAAGGAAUAAAAUAUACUGACCUGAUCUACAGGAUGUCAUACAGAUAAGUCAGCAUGUAAGGCCAAACAAAAGAGCUUCUGCAACAUCCAAAACUCCUAAGAAUGUUUGAAUAAUGUAUGAAACACAUAAAUAUGUAUAGACCUGAGUAAUGUAACAAUAUAUAGAUAACACUUGA